ensembl:lncRNA
AAGACCUCAGACCUUAUGUAUGCUCAUUCCCAAUGACCAACAUCCAUUUUCGCCUUUACUUGACAUCCACCUGGAUCUCAAGGAGUCACAUCUUUGAUGUACAUAUACAGUCACUUAACUAAGAGGAGCCUACAGCAUCUUACUAACUACAACUCAAGCUGCAUUCUAGAGGAUCUUACAUAAGCAACUCUACACACCUACAUCUUUUCUCAAAAUGAACGUGACUAAACUUAUCUUUGUGGCUUAACUUUGCCUGCUGACUAUUGCUAUGCCAGUCAUGUUUGGCAAAAAACCAAGCAUGACAACAUGCAUGGUCAUCUGUAAGAAAAUGUUCCAGUUCGUCCACAUUUCUGUUCUCCAUUACAUGCAAGACAGAAGAAUCUGUGACUCUCAUGGCUGCUAAAACAGAAAAACUGCAGGUCCAGACAUUGGACAGGCUGAGCAUAUGUUCAAGAGAAGAGUUUCAUAGUGUAAUUUACCAGCAUAAUAACAACAGCGAAGCGCUGAGUCAGAAAAGUUAGGCUGUGUGCCAGCCCACAUGACCGUUGACUAUUCAGCACUGAG